rnacentral:rRNA from 1 species
UACAGAGGUCUCAAGCGUUGUUCGGAUUCAUUGGGCGUAAGGGUGCGUAGGCGGCGCGGUAAGUCGGGUGUGAAAUCUCGGAGCUUAACUCCGAAACUGCAUUCGAUACUGCCGUGCUUGAGGACUGGAGAGGAGACUGGAAUUUACGGUGUAGCGGUGAAAUGCGUAGAUAUCGUAAGGAAGACCGAGUGGCGAAGGCGGGUCUCUGGACAGUUCCUGACGCUGAGGCGCGAAGGCUAGGGAGCAAACGGG